rnacentral:rRNA from 1 species
UCCGUAGGUGAACCUGCGGAGGGAUCAUUACUGAGUUUACGCUCUACAACCCUUUGUGAACAUACCUAUAACUGUUGCUUCGGCGGGUAGGGUCUCCGCGACCCUCCCGGCCUCCCGCCUCCGGGCGGGUCGGCGCCCGCCGGAGGAUAACCAAACUCUGAUUUAACGACGUUUCUUCUGAGUGGUACAAGCAAAUAAUCAAAACUUUUAACAACGGAUCUCUUGGUUCUGGCAUCGAUGAAGAACGCAGCGAAAUGCGAUAAGUAAUGUGAAUUGCAGAAUUCAGUGAAUCAUCGAAUCUUUGAACGCACAUUGCGCCCGCCAGCAUUCUGGCGGGCAUGCCUGUUCGAGCGUCAUUUCAACCCUCAAGCUCUGCUUGGUGUUGGGGCCCUACAGCUGAUGUAGGCCCUCAAAGGUAGUGGCGGACCCUCUCGGAGCCUCCUUUGCGUAGUAACUUUACGUCUCGCACUGGGAUCCGGAGGGACUCUUGCCGUAAAACCCCCAAUUUUCCAAAGGUUGACCUCGGAUCAGGUAGGAAUACCCGCUGAACUUAAGCAUAUCAAUAAGCGGAGGAA